rnacentral:rRNA from 1 species
UACGUAGGGUGCAAGCGUUGUCCGGAAUUAUUGGGCGUAAAGAGCUCGUAGGCGGUUUGUCGCGUCGAAUGUGAAAACCCGGGGCUCAACCCCGGGCCUGCAUUCGAUACGGGCAGACUAGAGUUCGGUAGGGGAGUCUGGAAUUCCUGGUGUAGCGGUGAAAUGCGCAGAUAUCAGGAGGAACACCGAUGGCGAAGGCAGGUCACUGGGCCGCAACUGACGCUGAGGAGCGAAAGCAUGGGGAGCGAACAGG